rnacentral:rRNA from 1 species
UACGUAGGGUGCAGGCGUUAUUCGGAAUUACUGGGCGUAAAGGGUGCGCAGGCGGUUUCUUAAGUCAGAUGUGAAAGCCCCGGGCUUAACCUGGGAACUGCGUUUGAAACUGGGAGACUUGAGUGUGGCAGAGGGGGGUGGAAUUCCACGUGUAGCAGUGAAAUGCGUAGAUAUGUGGAGGAACACCGAUGGCGAAGGCAGCCCCCUGGGUUAACACUGACGCUCAUGCACGAAAGCGUGGGGAGCAAACAGG